GAAUCUAGUAGUUAUGUUUGAUAUCCUCUGAAAAAUUCUCCAGUGUAGCAGAGGACUCCAAGUCUAAAAUUUAACCAUUUUUCCCAAAAGUUUAAUUUCCAUGGCUUGAUUUCAUAAAAAGCAAUUUUCAUCAUGAUUUUUAGGUGGUCAUAAUUGAAAGAGAAAUUUCUCCCCCUGAGAGAGUCUCUGAAGAUAGCUGUCUUUGACACUGAUGCAUCUCCCUCUUGGCCAGAAGCCACAGAGAUGGGUCCCCCCUCAUGUUAGGUCAUUAAUUGUUCUUCUCCAGGUCUGCACACACUAAGCUGAGAACCAAGGCAAUUAUGCAAUUAAGUCAAGCAAAAAAACGAUGCUCGUGCUCCAAUGAGCCACAAUUUUAGUUGACAGUUGCUUUGACUUGACUUGUCCUGAUAAUUGCUUUAAGUCCUCCAUGACCCUCCAAUAGAAUGUGUGAGCUCCAUUAGAAAGUGUAUGAUUUGCAGGGGAUGGUGUGCCACUAUCUUCUUACAAAAUAGUGUGGAAUGUAUAUUGAUGUCCUUUGUUUGAGUCAAAUAUAAUCUAUGUUAGUGGGAAUUUCCCCAGAAGCUGACCCUGAGACAGGAACCCAAAUGAAAUAGCUUAUCCUGAAGUGAUUCUAGGGAGCAUUGGUAGAGAGAUGGGAAAAUAAAACCACAAAUUACCUCUGUGGGUAAGGAUCUUACUCCUACAGGGCAAAUCUGAGAACCAGAAUAGAACUCUGCUUAGAAUUCCACCUGAGGUUAAUACACAGACUCCCAAGAGUCAUUGUUUAGUGCCUUGACUGGGAACAUUAACACUUUAGCACUUGGGACAGAUUGGGCUUCAAUUUGCAGGGAAAGCUGUCAAGCAAAGAGAGGCAAAUACUGGCCUGGUAGCCUGGCUGGCAGGCACUGCAAAUAUAAAUCCCAAAGGUAUAUGGAUGGGGCACCAACUAUACUUCCAGUCCUCCUCAGGCCAAAAGACCUCAGGAUUUGACAUUCCAGAUCUGGCUCCACCUUUCUUUUAUUCUCUACUUUCAGAACCAAUCCAGAUGUUUGGACAUGAACAUUCACCUUGUUAUUUUCCUGGAGGAGGGGUUCUCCUGAGAUCCGAGCUCCUCCCCCAGCUGUCAGCUUAACAGUGUGCUCAGCUCCUGUCCCCUGGGUCCUCAGAGUGCCAUGUGGAGAUCUGUUUGCCAGCCAGUGCUGAGUGCCUUCUAUGUGCAAGUGACACCCAUACAGAUAUGUUUCCAGGUUGGUGGGCCCUGGUGGAGAAGGGGAGUCUGACCCCAGUGCCAGAAGUUUCACAGUUUAAAACUUGAUAGAGUGUCACCACAGGCCAUCUCCUGUGGUGAGUCCAGCUUAGAGCCAUGUCAACUAGUUCUGAGCUAGAUUUCUAAGAGGGUCAAAAUCAAGAGAAUGUGUUCUCUUUUAUGAGGCAUUGAAACAGAAUGGAUAAAAACCUGUGUUUUGGAAACAUUUAAAUCUUUUCUAUUAGUUUGUUUGAUUCUUUGUUGUUUAUUUUUUCUUUGAGACCUAGCCCUGCUUCUCAUUAGCUACAUGGCUUUGGGCAAAUUUCUUAAACUCUUUGUCCCUUAAUUUACUCAUCUAUAAUUGGGGGAUGCUCCACCUCAUAGGCUUCUGAGAGGACUAGAUGAGAUAAUGCAUGUAAAGCACUGGGCAUAGUACCUGAUAAAUAGUAAGUUCAUAAUGGCUGGUAAUAAGACCUAAAAACUAUUUUUAUUAUAUAAAGGUGGCAAACAGGAAAAUAGGCAUCUAAAGUAGAGGGAAGGUAAACCAGGAGGAGUUUCAUGGGCCAUGUUUUAGACGCUCUGGAGGCAUUUUUGAGUGCAUGCUGCUUAUGGCUUUGGUGUGGGAUCCUGGGGAUAUUAAAGGCCUCAAGUUGCUGACUCUUCUGGGAAUAGCUUGAGAACCAGAUGAUCCAAGGAUCCCACUCAUAUUCCAUUAGGAUAAUAUGCCCACUUCAGGACUCCUCGUCCUCUGCAACCAUCUUUUAAUCAAUUAUUCUGGGCUCCACAUGUCCUAGACACUUGAUAUUUUAACUUGUAAGCUUUCAUUCAUAAAAAGUUGAGCCAUUCAUGGCCACCAGACAUGAAUUAGUGUUUGGGGACAAUGUCUGUUAUCAAGUAUGCUAACUUUUGACAACUCGGUAUCGUUUCUGAAGUCAAUGCAUUCAUUCCAUUGUUUAUUACUUUAUUCAACAAAUAUUUAUUGAUUAUCUACCAUGUGCCAGGCUCUGUGAUAAGUGUUGGGGAUGCUAUGGCAAGCAAAACACACAGAAUUAUCACUGAACAUGGAAUCUAGUUGGGGGAGGCAAUUUCAAAUAAUCAUAAAAAUAUAUACAAAUUAUAGAUUAUUGUAAGUGCUAUGAAGGUGAAACAUAAGGUCCCAUGAGGACAUAUAGGAAGAUGCCUGAGCAUCUGGGGUGAAGGUUAUCAGCAGGUCCCUCUGCAGGAAUAAUGUUGGAGUUGAAAAAUAAGGAAUUAACAAAGUUGAAAGGGCUAGAGGUAGACAGAGAAGAAUCAUAGGGUGUUCUGGUUAUCUCCUGCUGCAUAACAUAUCACCCCAAAACUUGGUGACUUUUGACAACAUUUGAUGAUCACUUCUCCUAGUUCUGUGGUUGACUGGGGUCAGCUGGGUGAUUUUUGCUUAUAGUUGUAGUCAGUUGUUGACUUGGACUCCACUAGAUUUGACACCCAAGAUGGCUCCCUCAAGUGACAGUUGAUGCUGGCUGUGGGCUAGGAGCUCAGCUGGGUCUGUCAAAUGGAACAUCUGCAUGUGACUUCUGUGUGGAGCUUAGGUUUUUGACAGCAUGGCAACUGGGAUGUGAAGGGGAGUACCCCACGAGUGUGUUCCAACAGGCCAAAGUAGAACCUAUAGGACUUCUUAUGACCUAGCCUCAGCAAUCCCAGAAUAUCACCUUUGUCCCAUUCUAAUUGUCAAGUGAGUUGCCAAAGCCAGCUCAGAUUCAAAAAUAAGGGAGAUAUAGAUUCUGCUUCUUAGUGGCAGGAAGGCACAUAUACGCAGGGAGUAAAGAACUCCUGGGCAGUCAUCUUAAGAACAAGUUACUCUGUGUGGCUUUUGCUCUUGCUAUUCAGUCUAGAAUGAUCUUUCCUGAAAUAGUUACAUUACCUACAUCAUUUAGAUAUCAGUUCAAAAUAUCUCCUUAAUUCAAAAGAUCUUCCUCAAAGAGGGCUUCAUUGACCUUUGUAUCCAGUCACUUUCUCUCUCAUGACUGUAUUGAAUUAUUUUCAUAGUACUUACCACUCCAGAAUUUUCCCUUUCUUGGAUUAUUUGCCACAGUUUUCCCAUAGUUAACCUCACAAACCUAUAAAACAUAAGCCUUAUAAGGUCACAGUCUUGGUCACCAAUGUAUCCCCUACAAAUAUGCCUGACAGUGAGAACUGAAAAAAUACCUACUGAGUGAAGAAAGAGGAUUCUAAGUGGAAGAAAUGCCACACACAGAGAUCCUGAGGCAGGAAGUGAGCAUGAUAAUCUGAGGAAAUGAACAAAGCCAUGUGUGUUGGAACCGGGGAAUAGAGAGGCAGCCACAUACCAUGGGGGCCCACAGCAGCAUCCUGCUUGGUCACAGUCAGCCUGGUUCAUUCCUGACCAUGGUCACCAUUUUCUGAAGUGCAAAAAGUAUGCAUAUGUUCUGUUAUGCAAGCGCUCUGGCUUGAAUAUGUCUAAUGUGUGCUCCAAAUGACUCACUUAAUGGAUAAAUGGCACCCGCUGAAUUUGUACUCCAUAUUCUUAUGUCUUACUCUUUCUAAAAGUAAUUGAAAAAACAACAACAA
rnacentral:lncRNA from 1 species